GAUGAACGCUGGCGGCGUGCCUAAUACAUGCAAGUCGAGCGAACGGACGAGAAGCUUGCUUCUCUGAUGUUAGCGGCGGACGGGUGAGUAACACGUGGAUAACCUACCUAUAAGACUGGGAUAACUUCGGGAAACCGGAGCUAAUACCGGAUGAUAUUUUGAACCGCAUGGUUCAAAAGUGAAAGACGGUAUUGCUGUCACUUAUAGAUGGAUCCGCGCUGCAUUAGCUAGUUGGUAAGGUAACGGCUUACCAAGGCAACGAUGCAUAGCCGACCUGAGAGGGUGAUCGGCCACACUGGAACUGAGACACGGUCCAGACUCCUACGGGAGGCAGCAGUAGGGAAUCUUCCGCAAUGGGCGAAAGCCUGACGGAGCAACGCCGCGUGUGUGAUGAAGGUCUUCGGAUCGUAAAACUCUGUUAUUAGGGAAGAACAUAUGUGUAAGUAACUGUGCACAUCUUGACGGUACCUAAUCAGAAAGCCACGGCUAACUACGUG
rnacentral:rRNA from 1 species